CCUACGGGAGGCAGCAGUGAGGAAUAUUGGUCAAUGGACGAGAGUCUGAACCAGCCAAGUAGCGUGAAGGAUGACUGCCCUAUGGGUUGUAAACUUCUUUUAUAUGGGAAUAAAACAGGGUAUGCAUACCCUCUUGUAUGUACCAUAUGAAUAAGGAUCGGCUAACUCCGUGCCAGCAGCCGCGGUAAUACGGAGGAUCCGAGCGUUAUCCGGAUUUAUUGGGUUUAAAGGGAGCGUAGGUGGAUUGUUAAGUCAGUUGUGAAAUGUCCGGGCUCAACCCGGGCCUUGCAGCGCGAACUGGCGUGCUUGAGUCCGCGGAAAGCAGGCGGAAUGCGUGGUGUAGCGGUGAAAUGCUUAGAUAUGACGAAGAACCCCGAUUGCGAAGGCAGCUUGCUGCAGCGGAACUGACGCUGAUGCUCGAAAGCGCGGGUAUCGAACAGGAUUAGAUACCCGGGUAGUC
rnacentral:rRNA from 1 species